GUGGGGAAUAUUGGACAAUGGGCGAAAGCCUGAUCCAGCCAUGCCGCGUGUGUGAAGAAGGUCUUCGGAUUGUAAAGCACUUUAAGUUGGGAGGAAGGGCAGUAAGUUAAUACCUUGCUGUUUUGACGUUACCGACAGAAUAAGCACCGGCUAACUUCGUGCCAGCAGCCGCGGUAAUACGAAGGGUGCAAGCGUUAAUCGGAAUUACUGGGCGUAAAGCGCGCGUAGGUGGUUUUGUAAGUUGGAGGUAAAAUCCCCGGGCUCAACCUGGGAACUGCCUCCAAAACUGCAUGACUAGAGUACGGUAGAGGGUAGUGGAAUUUCCUGUGUAGCGGUGAAAUGCGUAGAUAUAGGAAGGAACACCAGUGGCGAAGGCGACUACCUGGACUGAUACUGACACUGAGGUGCGAAAGCGUGGGGAGCAAACAGGAUUAGAAACCCUGGUAGUCC
rnacentral:rRNA from 1 species